rnacentral:rRNA from 1 species
AGUGAACGCUGGCGGCAGGCCUAACACAUGCAAGUCGAGCGGCAGCGCGUCCGACCACCCUCGGGUGGUCGGAUGGCGGCGAGCGGCGGACGGGUGAGGAAUGCAUCGGAAUCUGCCUCGUUGUGGGGGAUAACGUAGGGAAACUUACGCUAAUACCGCAUACGACCUACGGGUGAAAGUGGGGGACCUUCGGGCCUCACGCGAUGAGAUGAGCCGAUGCCCGGAUUAGCUAGUUGGCGGGGUAAAGGCCCACCAAGGCGACGAUCCGUAGCUGGUCUGAGAGGAUGAUCAGCCACACUGGAACUGAGACACGGUCCAGACUCCUACGGGA